CCACCAGGGUGUAGGCAAGAACAGAUGAGAGCCUAUGGGACUCUGGACAAGUUACCUUAUCACUUUGCCUAUUGUAUCUGUACUAUAAAAAAAUAUACAUACUCACAAACCCUUCUCUUCCUGGUAACUCAUGGAAAAGUCGCUCUGUGGUACAAGACUUACCAGUCAAUCAACCUUGUUAGGUAGGCUGUAAAAGAUCACAUGUGAAGAUGAUGGGGAGGAAGAGGGGAAGAAAUCAGGGAAAGAAAAGCCAGCUGUAAGCAAAGCAUUGUUCUAAGGAAACAUAAAAUCAGCCCCUGUGUUCAAGGAACUAAUGGGAAACUAGACAUCUCAGCAAAUUAACGAUCAAUAAAUGACAAAUGAAACAAAUGGGAGGAGGUUAUAACAAUAGCAAGCACUGGAAAGCAUCUACUUUGUGAUGGACAGUGGACCUGCCACUUUACAGGUGUUAUCUAGACUCCUUACAAGGACCCAGCAGAAUAGGUCUGAUGAUCACUUCCAGGUUAUAGAUGAGAAAACUAAUGUGCCAGGAAAUGUAGCAAUUCAUUGAGUCAUAUAGCUGGAAAAAGGCAGAGCAGGGGUAAGACCCAGCCCUAUCUGACUCCAAAGUCCACUCACUCUCUGCCAUUCUUCUCUAGCUCCUCACCUGGCUGCUGGUGUGAAACUCAUCACUUAUCGCUUUGGGGAUUGUAUUUUAAAUAUAAUAUAUGCUUGAAAGUGAAAGUUGCACAGUCAUGUCCAACUCUUUGAGACCCCAUGAACUAAAACAGAAUUCUCUAGGCCAGCUCUGGAGUGGGUAGCGUUAUCCCUUCUCCAAGAGAUCUUCCCAACCCAGGGAUCCAACUGAGGUCUUCUGCAUUGCAGGUGGAUUCUUUACCAGCUGAGCUACAAGGGAAGUCCAAGAAUACUGGAGUGGGUAGCCUAUCCCUUCUCCAGCAGAUCUUCCCCACCCAGGAAUGGAACCGGGGUGUCCUGCAUUGCAGAAAAACGGAAGAAGCUAAGCUAAGGAAAGAAGGAUUCAACAAACAGCUUAUCCUGAGCCACUAUAACGAGGAAGAGGUGAACACCAUCCCUGAAGAUUCCCAGUGUUUCUGGCUAGAGUUGCUGAGGAGGAGGACUAAUAUGCCGACAAUCAAGAAGCCUGACCAGAAUUUGAAAAAGUUCCAUUAUGCUCUGACAGAUGGUUCCUCUCUGACCUAAUAUCCUUGUGAAACGCCAAUGGUUGAAGAAGGAUGGGAUGGGUCAGGAGUGAUAAAGGGGCAGCAGGUGGAGUGUUUCUGUUUCAGCAGAAAAUCCCAGAAGCAUUAAAAAAAGAGGUCUGACCCCUGUAUUUGUUCAGUCCCUUUCUCCCAAGGGUCUACACUCCCUCACUCUGGGGGUGGGAGAAGUCAAUCCAAGAAAGAGGUCAGGGC
ensembl:lncRNA